AAUCUUCCACAAUGGGCGAAAGCCUGAUGGAGCAACGCCGCGUGAGGGAAGAAGGUUUUCGGAUCGUAAAACUCUGUUGUUAGGGAAGAACAAGUAACGUUCGAAUAGGGCGGUACCUUGACGGUACCUAACCAGAAAUCAACGGCUAACUACGUGGCAGCAGCCGCGGUAAUACGGAGGAGGCAAGCGUUAUCCGGAAUUAUUGGGCGUAAAGCGAGCGCAGGCGGUUUCUUAAGUCUGAUGUGAAAGCCCACGGCUCAACCGUGGAGGGUCAUUGGAAACUGGGAAGCUUGAGUGCAGAAGAGGAGAGUGGAAUUCCAUGUGUAGCGGUGAAAUGCGUAGAGAUAUGGAGGAAACCCAGUGGCGAAGGCGACUCUCUGGUCUGCAACUGACGCUGAGGCGCGAAAGCGUGGGGAGCGAAC
rnacentral:rRNA from 1 species